UACGUAGGGUGCGAGCGUUGUCCGGAAUUAUUGGGCGUAAAGAGCUUGUAGGCGGUUUGUCGCGUCUGCUGUGAAAAUCCGGGGCUCAACCCCGGACUUGCAGUGGGGUACGGGCAGACUAGAGUGUGGUAGGGGAGACUGGAAUUCCUGGUGUAGCGGUGAAAUGCGCAGAUAUCAGGGAGGAACACCGGUGGCGAAGGCGGGUCUCUGGGCCGAUACUGACGCUGGAGGAGCGAAAAGCGUGGGGAGCGAACAGG
rnacentral:rRNA from 1 species